UUUCCGUAGGUGAACCUGCGGAAGGAUCAUUCAUAAUAAAGUGUUUUAUGGCACUUUUUAAAAAUCCAUAUCCACCUUGUGUGCAAUGUUAGAUCUCGUCAAUCUUGGCGAGAUUUUUAUACAUCAACUGAUUCUUUAACUAAUUUGUCUGAAAAAUAUUAUGAAUACUUAAAUCAAAAUACAACUUUCAACAACGGAUCUCUUGGCUCUC
rnacentral:misc_RNA from 1 species